AAAUUGAAGAGUUUGAUCAUGGCUCAGAUUGAACGCUGGCGGCAGGCCUAACACAUGCAAGUCGAGCGGUAGCACAGGAGAGCUUGCUCUCCGGGUGACGAGCGGCGGACGGGUGAGUAAUGUCUGGGAAACUGCCUGAUGGAGGGGGAUAACUACUGGAAACGGUAGCUAAUACCGCAUAACGUCGCAAGACCAAAGAGGGGGACCUUCGGGCCUCUUGCCAUCAGAUGUGCCCAGAUGGGAUUAGCUAGUAGGUGGGGUAACGGCUCACCUAGGCGACGAUCCCUAGCUGGUCUGAGAGGAUGACCAGCCACACUGGAACUGAGACACGGUCCAGACUCCUACGGGAGGCAGCAGUGGGGAAUAUUGCACAAUGGGCGCAAGCCUGAUGCAGCCAUGCCGCGUGUAUGAAGAAGGCCUUCGGGUUGUAAAGUACUUUCAGCGGGGAGGAAGGCGGUGAGGUUAAUAACCUCAUCGAUUGACGUUACCCGCAGAAGAAGCACCGGCUAACUCCGUGCCAGCAGCCGCGGUAAUACGGAGGGUGCAAGCGUUAAUCGGAAUUACUGGGCGUAAAGCGCACGCAGGCGGUCUGUCAAGUCGGAUGUGAAAUCCCCGGGCUCAACCUGGGAACUGCAUUCGAAACUGGCAGGCUAGAGUCUUGUAGAGGGGGGUAGAAUUCCAGGUGUAGCGGUGAAAUGCGUAGAGAUCUGGAGGAAUACCGGUGGCGAAGGCGGCCCCCUGGACAAAGACUGACGCUCAGGUGCGAAAGCGUGGGGAGCAAACAGGAUUAGAUACCCUGGUAGUCCACGCCGUAAACGAUGUCGACUUGGAGGUUGUGCCCUUGAGGCGUGGCUUCCGGAGCUAACGCGUUAAGUCGACCGCCUGGGGAGUACGGCCGCAAGGUUAAAACUCAAAUGAAUUGACGGGGGCCCGCACAAGCGGUGGAGCAUGUGGUUUAAUUCGAUGCAACGCGAAGAACCUUACCUACUCUUGACAUCCAGAGAACUUUCCAGAGAUGGAUUGGUGCCUUCGGGAACUCUGAGACAGGUGCUGCAUGGCUGUCGUCAGCUCGUGUUGUGAAAUGUUGGGUUAAGUCCCGCAACGAGCGCAACCCUUAUCCUUUGUUGCCAGCGGUUAGGCCGGGAACUCAAAGGAGACUGCCAGUGAUAAACUGGAGGAAGGUGGGGAUGACGUCAAGUCAUCAUGGCCCUUACGAGUAGGGCUACACACGUGCUACAAUGGCGCAUACAAAGAGAAGCGACCUCGCGAGAGCAAGCGGACCUCAUAAAGUGCGUCGUAGUCCGGAUUGGAGUCUGCAACUCGACUCCAUGAAGUCGGAAUCGCUAGUAAUCGUAGAUCAGAAUGCUACGGUGAAUACGUUCCCGGGCCUUGUACACACCGCCCGUCACACCAUGGGAGUGGGUUGCAAAAGAAGUAGGUAGCUUAACCUUCGGGAGGGCGCUUACCACUUUGUGAUUCAUGACUGGGGUGAAGUCGUAACAAGGUAACCGUAGGGGAACCUGCGGUUGGAUCACCUCCUUA
rnacentral:rRNA from 1 species